GACGAACGCUGGCGGCGUGCCUAAUACAUGCAAGUUGAGCGCUGAAGGUUGGUACUUGUACCAACUGGAUGAGCAGCGAACGGGUGAGUAACGCGUGGGGAAUCUGCCUUUGAGCGGGGGACAACAUUUGGAAACGAAUGCUAAUACCGCAUAAAAACUUUAAACACAAGUUUUAAGUUUGAAAGAUGCAAUUGCAUCACUCAAAGAUGAUCCCGCGUUGUAUUAGCUAGUUGGUGAGGUAAAGGCUCACCAAGGCGAUGAUACAUAGCCGACCUGAGAGGGUGAUCGGCCACAUUGGGACUGAGACACGGCCCAAACUCCUACGGGAGGCAGCAGUAGGGAAUCUUCGGCAAUGGACGAAAGUCUGACCGAGCAACGCCGCGUGAGUGAAGAAGGUUGUCGGAUCGUAAAACUCUGUCGGUAGAGAAGAACGUUGGUGAGAGUGGAAAGCUCAUCAAGUGACGGUAACUACCCAGAAAGGGACGGCUAACUACGUG
rnacentral:rRNA from 1 species